CCUGAGACCUCGCCUCCGCCUCGGGAGAUGCCCCCUUUCCACCAGCCACCGCCCGGCCCCACCGCCUGCAGCCCCUAGAAGUUGGCAGGGCACCAAUCGGAAGGGAGAGCCAAGCAAAACCCACUGAAGUCUAGACCUGCUGGCACGCCCCCGCCCCCCAGCCACACGGAGCUUUCAGGCAUUUGAAAUGUGGUUAAUCCAAAUCCAGGUGGGCCAUAGUAUGAAAUACACACCAGGUUUUGAAGACUUAUACUAGAAAAAGAAUGUAAACUGUCUCAGUAAUGUUAUAUGAAUUACACGUUGAAGUGAUAAGAUUUUUGAUACAUUGGCCUAAAUAACAUAUUUUAGUGUAACUACAAGAAAAUUUAAAAUUAUACAUCUGACUUACAUUUGUGGCCCGCAUUAUUUUUCCCUGGGACAGCACGAUUUGGAGGGGAGAGAGGAAAAUGCUUAUUCCUGUCGGUGUAUUCUGUACCCCUAAAUUCUGGUAGGAAGGAUUUGAGGGUUUUAUUUUGUAUUAACAUCUUAAGACCCAUUUUUAGGUAGAAAGAAUGAAUGAGAAAUCAACUCUGGAAAUUAUUCAACACCUUAGCAUAGUCUAGAAGAGGUGUAGGGAAGCAACUACAUUGCAUUAUGGCGCCGCAGAAGCAUCAUGUAACAAGGUCAGGCCCGAGUCUGGCUUUGCCCUAGAAUUACUUUUUGAUCUUAGCAAAACAACAACAGAAAACCCCACCUAUGUUGGCCUUUUAGUGUUCUCAGUUUGUAGCAGAGAUAAUGCCUCUGCCUUACUUUCGAGGGAUAAAUGAGAUGAUCCCUGUAAAAUGCUUUGAACUCCACUAAGAAAAUUCUCAAUAAUAGUUACAGGUCAAAUCCUGUUACAAAAAAAUACUCAAAAAAAAAAAAAAAGGCACUGUGUAGAAAAAGAUUUCUAAACUCCAGCCAGUGGUUUACUUAUUAAAAGCAAUAUUUGCUAUGACAUUUCAGUACACCUAAAGAAUUUAGACCAUCGCUUUGAGAUCAUUGUAAAGAAUUGUACUUAUUCAUACUGUUAUAAGGCUAUUGAGGUGGGAACUCUGCAAAUUGAGGUAAUAUCAUCAACUUAGCAUUUAUUGAUUUUGCUAUACUGUGUACUGUGAGGGAUGCUGGAAGACAGAAAUAAAUACUGUAUAUGGCUCCUAUAUUUUGUGUUCAGAUUUGUGUUAGACACAUUUGUAAUUUCUUACUGUGUGACUGUUUUUUAACUGUUCCUUUACACAGUAAAAUUGAGUAAUGUAUCCACAUUGUACCUAGAUUUUAGUGGAAAACUUCAAGGCUCAGAAAUUGUUUAAUUAAUCCAGUAUAAAUCAAAUCAGUAUUAAAAUCCACAAUCACACCAGUGCAACUUAUUCUUUUACCCCAUGUUACCUUUAUUGAUGGAGAAAUUAAAUAAUCACUACAAAACAUCAAAUCACCCUCUUUCACACCCAAAUUAGACAUUAAGUGAAUGGUUCAAGGUAGAAUUGAUGGUUUAGUGAUUGCCCCAAAAAAUCCAAAGUACUCACUAUGCAGAAAGGCAAAGCCAAAAUGGAAAAUUGGAAUAUAUUCUGUUAUCAUAAGAGCUUUCCAUGUAUUGUUCCACUUAUUCCUAUCAACAACCACAUGAGGAAGAUACUAUUAACCCAUUUUGGGCAGAAGAUGAAACAGGCCUAUGAUCACAUGGUUCCUGGAUGGAAGAACAGGUAGGUAUUAAAUCCAAUCUAACCCCAAAGCUUGCUCUGAACCAUGCCUUCACCAUACACAGCAGAAAAUGGAAUAAGGGACCUCUAAGGUCCCUUACAACUAAUAAA